rnacentral:rRNA from 1 species
GAUGAACGCUAGCGGCAGGCUUAACACAUGCAAGUCGAGGGGUAUGGUUCUUCGGAACCAGAGACCGGCGCACGGGUGCGUAACGCGUAUGCAAUCUACCUUUCACAGAGGGAUAGCCCAGAGAAAUUUGGAUUAAUACCUCAUAGUAUUAUAGGAUGGCAUCAUUUUAUAAUUAAAGUCACAACGGUGAAAGAUGAGCAUGCGUCCCAUUAGCUAGUUGGUAAGGUAACGGCUUACCAAGGCAACGAUGAGUAGGGGUCCUGAGAGGGAGAUCCCCCACACUGGUACUGAGACACGGACCAGACUCCUACGGGAGGCAGCAGUGAGGAAUAUUGGUCAAUGGGCGCAAGCCUGAACCAGCCAUGCCGCGUGCAGGAUGACGGUCCUAUGGAUUGUAAACUGCUUUUGUACGAGAAGAAACAACAUUACGUGUAAUGUCUUGACGGUA